GUUGUAGUCUGGAGAAGUGCUUUCCGUGCCGGACCGUGUAUAAGUCUCUUGGAAUAGAGCAUCAUAGAGGGUGAGAAUCCCGUCUUUGACACGGACUACCGGUGCUUUGUGAUGCGCUCUCAAAGAGUCGAGUUGUUUGGGAAUGCAGCUCAAAAUGGGUGGUAAAUUCCAUCUAAAGCUAAAUAUUGGCGAGAGACCGAUAGCGAACAAGUACCGUGAGGGAAAGAUGAAAAGCACUUUGGAAAGAGAGUUAAACAGUACGUGAAAUUGCUGAAAGGGAAACGCUUGAAGUCAGUCGCGUUGUGCAGAACUCAACCUAGCUUUUGCUUGGUGCACUUUCUGUAUGACGGGCCAGCAUCGAUUUUGACUGUCGGAAAAGGGUUGAAGGAAUGUGGCACCUCCGGGUGUGUUAUAGCCUUUGGUCGCAUACGGCAGUUGGGAUCGAGGAACGCAGCGUGCCGCAAGGUGGGGCUUCGGCCUACAUUCACGCUUAGGAUGCUGGCAUAAUGGCUUUAAACGACCCGUCUUGAAACACGGACCAAGGAGUCUAACAUGCCUGCGAGUGUUUGGGUGGAAAACCCGAGCGCGUAAUGAAAGUGAAAGUUGAGACCUCUGUCGUGGAGGGCAUCGACGCCCGGACCUGACGUUCUCUGACGGAUCCGCGGUAGAGC
rnacentral:rRNA from 1 species